rnacentral:tRNA from 2 species
GGGGAUGUAGCUCACUUGGCUAGAGCGCUUGGCUGGCAGCCAAGAGGUAGUGGGUUCGAAUCCCAUCUUCUCCACCA